rnacentral:rRNA from 1 species
GGAUUAGAUACCUGGUAGUCACGCCCUAAACGAUGUCUACUAGUUGUCGGGUUUUAAUUAACUUGGUAACGCAGCUAACGCGUGAAGUAGACCGCCUGGGGAGUACGGUCGCAAGAUUAAAACUCAAAGGAAUUGACGGGGACCCGCACAAGCGGUGGAUGAUGUGGAUUAAUUCGAUGCAACGCGAAAAACCUUACCUACCCUUGACAUGGACGGAAUCCUGAAGAGAUUUGGGAGUGCUCGAAAGAGAGCCGUUACACAGGUGCUGCAUGGCUGUCGUCAGCUCGUGUCGUGAGAUGUUGGGUUAAGUCCCGCAACGAGCGCAACCCUUGUCAUUAGUUGCUACGAAAGAGCACUCUAAUGAGACUGCCGGUGACAAACCGGAGGAAGGUGGGGAUGACGUCAAGUCCUCAUGGCCCUUAUGGGUAGGGCUUCACACGUCAUACAAUGGUACAUACAGAGGGCCGCCAACCCGCGAGGGGGAGCUAAUCCCAGAAAGUGUAUCGUAGUCCGGAUUGUAGUCUGCAACUCGACUACAUGAAGUUGGAAUCGCUAGUAAUCGCGGAUCAGCAUGUCGCGGUGAAUACGUUCCCGGGUCUUGUACACACCGCCCGUCACACCAUGGGAGCGGGUUUUACCAGAAGUAGGUAGCUUAACCGCAAGGGGGGCGCUUACCACGGUAGGAUUCGUGACUGGGGUGAAGUCGUUAACAAGGUAACC